rnacentral:rRNA from 1 species
AACCAAGAAAUUUAGUCAUUCUUUUACGGUAAAAAGACAGUUAAGCAGGGUAUAAAUUAUAAGAUCUUUAGUAAAGGAGUAAAAUCUAAAUACUGAAAGUUAUACCAGACAUAAUUUAUUUUAGAUGCUGAAUCUGUGACAACUUUAAGGGAAACUGGGAUUGGAUACCCCAUUAUUUUUAGUCGUAAAUUAGUUUAGGCUUACCAGAGUACUACGAAUAAAAAGUUUAAAACUCAAAGGGCUUGGCGGUGUUUUAGACCUCUCAGGGGAACCUGUCUCAUAAUCGACAAUCCACGUUAGACCUGACCCUUUAUGGCAAUUCAGUCUGUAUACCGUCGUCGUCAGGUAACUUCUAAAAAUAUAGUAGUUAGCUCGAUAAUUAUAUUAAUUAAAACGUCAGAUCAAGGUGCAGCUAAUAAAAGGGGGAGGAUGGGUUACAGUUAUAUAUUUAUAAUUACGGAGAAAACUUGAAAUGAAGUAGUUAGAAGGAGGACUUGAAAGUAAUUUUAAUUAUAUAAGUAGAAUGAAUAAGGCUCUGAAACGUGC